rnacentral:rRNA from 1 species
UUCCAGACUCCUACGGGAGGCAGCAGUGGGGAAUAUUGCACAAUGGGGGAAACCCUGAUGCGGCGACGCCGCGUGAGCGAAGAAGUAUUUCGGUAUGUAAAGCUCUAUCAGCAGGGAAGAAAUUGACGGUACCUGAGUAAGAAGCUCCGGCUAAAUACGUGCCAGCAGCCGCGGUAAUACGUAUGGAGCAAGCGUUAUCCGGAUUUACUGGGUGUAAAGGGAGCGUAGGCGGCCUGCCAAGUCUGAUGUGAAAUACCGGGGCUCAACCCCGGGGCUGCAUUGGAAACUGACAGGCUGGAGUGUCGGAGAGGCAGGCGGAAUUCCUAGUGUAGCGGUGAAAUGCGUAGAUAUUAGGAGGAACACCAGUGGCGAAGGCGGCCUGCUGGACGAUGACUGACGCUGAGGCUCGAAAGCGUGGGGAGCAAACAGGAUUAGAUACCCUGGUA